rnacentral:rRNA from 1 species
AUGGAUCAUGAGGAGGGCCAGCCGGAUGUCGGCACACUGACCAGAGAGUACUGCAGAGACAUGAAGGGUGAAGAUCAUGGACCUAUUAUUCUGUCCCAUAAUAAGCUCCCCAAUUUGAUUUUAGACCAUGAACAUGUUAAGAUACAAGAUCCAAUGUUUGGCAUUUUCAUGGAAGACGAGGAGCGAGAUGUACUUGUGAAAAUAAGGAACGCUCACUGUCCUGCGAAAGUUGCAGAAGGCAACCCGUGUCUGGAGUACAUCAAAUAUAUUGUGAUUCCGCGGUUUGGAUGCUUUGAGGUGCCCGAGAAGGAAGAGGAGAGUGGUGGCAUUAGCAGGACGUUUCAGAAGAUGGAGGAGCUUAUCGCUGAUUAUGAAAGUGGCGCUCUGCAUCCCGCCAAGGUGAAGCUGGCCCUUACAGACGAACAAGAUUAUGAACACUGUGCGUCGCCACUUCACCGACAACAGCAAAGCCAGAGAUCUGAAGCAAGCUAUGAAGGUGUACUACAUUAA